UUUUUUUUUGGUGGUGCUGGGGCUCAAACCCAGGACCUUGUACAUUGCUAGGCAAGUGCUCUACCACUGAGCUAUCCCCCAGACUGGUUAUUUGUGAUUCAUAAAAACAGUGAAUUUUGUCCAAGCUCUGCCUCAGCCUCCCAGGCUCCACACCACAGCUUCAAUCUAUUUCUCCUCCUGGGUCUCAGCUUCCCCUGUGUACAUCAGGGAAAUAGGACUUGCUCUCUGGGGGUCUUCUAGGGGUCUCAUUCAGAACCAGUCAAAAGCACAUAGGGAAGAGUUGGGCUCAGUGGCACGCACCUGUAAUCCCAGCAGCUCUGGAGGCUGAGGCAGGAGGAUUUCUUCAAAGUCAGCUCAGCAAUUAGCAAAUCCCUAAGCAAUAUAGCAAAGGGAUGGGGAUGUGGCUCAGUGGUUAGGCACCCCUGGGUUCAAUCCCCAGUACAGGGGAGGGGGUAAAAAACUGUGCAGGGAAGAGAGUGAAUAUGCAAGGUGAGGGUGGCCAGUGAAAUGAGCUUCCAAAGUGGGGAGAAAUUUUAGGGAGAGAAAGCUAGAAGAGCAACCUAGGCCAGAGGAAGAGUAUAGACAAAUGGAUGAAGCUAGAAUGUGCCAGGGCAGUUUGGGAAGGUUUGAGGAGACAGUUUGAGGAGACCUGGCUGUGGUAGGCACCAAUAGCUAAAGGAAUUCAAUUGCUAGGUGCAAGUGUUUGGAUUUAGUCCUGCCAGUACUAGGGAGCUAAGGAGUCUCUUAAGCACAGGAAUGAAGUAAUGAAAGCACCUUCUCAGUGAACCAAUGUUCCUAUACCAGAGGUAAGUCUAGAGGUAGGGAGGCCAUGGAGGAGGCUGUGGAAAGGCCCAACCUCAGAUAGAAGAUGGAGGCUGGGUUUGGGCAAUGAUAGUAAGUAGGAGCAGGGGGCAUGGAGCCCAUUCUAAUCUCCACUGAACUUGUGCUUUUGGAGAGAUUGCAGGCAGGCAGGAGUCUCAGCCGAGUGCUCUUGGGAAAGUCCCCUAGGCUCUCUG
rnacentral:lncRNA from 1 species